rnacentral:rRNA from 1 species
CUACGUGCCAGCAGCCGCGGUAAUACGUAGGGCGCGAGCGUUGUCCGGAAUUAUUGGGCGUAAAGAGCUUGUAGGCGGUUUGUCGCGUCUGCUGUGAAAGGCCGGAGCUUAACUCCGUGUAUUGCAGUGGGUACGGGCAGACUAGAGUGCAGUAGGGGAGACUGGAAUUCCUGGUGUAGCGGUGGAAUGCGCAGAUAUCAGGAGGAACACCGAUGGCGAAGGCAGGUCUCUGGGCUGUAACUGACGCUGAGAAGCGAAAGCAUGGGGAGCGAACAGGAUUAGAUACCCUGGUAGUCCAUGCCGUAAACGUUGGGCACUAGGUGUGGGGAACAUUCCACGUUUUCCGCGCCGUAGCUAACGCAUUAAGUGCCCCGCCUGGGGAGUACGGCCGCAAGGCUAAAACUCAAAGAAAUUGACGGGGGCCCGCACAAGCGGCGGAGCAUGCGGAUUAAUUCGAUGCAACGCGAAGAACCUUACCAAGGCUU